UGCCCGCGCACGUCCCACACCCUCUACUCUCUCUCUCUAUGUGCUGUGGAGGAGGGGGCAGCGGAAGCCAGGCAGCCCCUCACUCCUCCAGCCCUGCCGAUUGCCGGACCCCACUUCUCGCUGUGGCAGGGCCGCGCGCAUGAGACUUGGGGAGGUCAGUGCGAUGCGUCGCUACUGAUGCCGGCGGGUGAGGUCGUGGGUGGUGCUGCCUCGGAGCGACCUGCGACCGUGCACACGCUUGUGCCACCCAUGUGGCUAGGCCGCGUGACUCGAACGCAUCCCACACCCGACCCUCACACGGCCCACUGGUGCUGCGGGGAGCCUGCGCCACUCGUGGGGACGCACCAGGUGGCGGCCGACAUGAUGCGGCUGGCUGCGAGGCGACGCGCGAAGCGCAGGGGUGAGUGGAGCUGGAGGCAGGGGCCUUGCGCAGGUCACCGAGUCGGUGCAUUGCCGUACCUCUUGUCAACGUCUGCCUCGCGCCGCGCGGAUGGGAGGGGGGCCUGUGACCGGCCCGCGGGCGAUCGAGUGUGGCGUUCAGCUCAUGUUCCGUGGCAUCGAAUGGACACGUCGAAGAAGGACCUCCCCUCUGAAUUCCUCUUGACAGCAUAACGCGCAUUUGCCAUCGCCACAUGCUUGCAUGCAUUCCGCGUCGCCCCUUUAUUGCCCCCCGUCCUCUUGCUGCUUCCCGCCCUUCUCUAUCCCUCACCCACCGUCUCGCACUCGCACAG
rnacentral:misc_RNA from 1 species